rnacentral:rRNA from 1 species
ACCGUAGUAAUUCUAGGGCUAAUACGUGCGAAGCGCCCGAAGCCGCGAGGCGACGGGCGUUCUCGCCGGAUGUAGGAACCGACCCGGGGACCGCCGGGGCAACCCGGCGCCCCCGAGACGGGGCGAACCACGGUGAAAUGACGGAUCGUCGGCCCCGCGCCGGCGACUCGCCGAAUGAGUUUCUGACCUAUCAACUCGAGACGGCGGGGUAGAGGCCCGCCGCGGUAACGACGGGUAACGGGGAAUCCGCAAGGCGCGUCGUGAUGGGGAUUGAACGUUGCAAUUGUUGUUCACGAACGAGGAAUUCCUAGUAGGCGCGGGUCAUCAACCCGCGCCGAUUACGUCCCUGCCCUUUGUACACACCGCCCGUCGCUCCUACCGAUCGAACGGUCCGGUGAGGACCCAGGACGGCGCGGGACCCGAGGGGCCGAAAAGGCUCCGCGACCCGUGUCGGAAUCCGUCCGAACCUUACCGUUUAGAGGAAGGAGAAGUCGU